rnacentral:rRNA from 1 species
CUACGGGAUGCAGCAGUUAGGAAUAAUCUACAAUGCGCGCAAGCGUGAUAGUUUGAGCCAGGGUGUCUGUCAUUCGACAGACUUUUGUGGAAUGUAAAAAGUUCUACGAAUAAGGACUGGGUAAGACUAGUGCCAGCCGCCGCGGUAAUACUAGCGGUCCAAGUCGCAGCCAUUUUUAUUGGGUCUAAAACAUCCGUAGCUUGCUUGAUAAGUUUCUUGUGAAAUUUUAUGUCUCAAACAUGAAGCGUGCAAGAAGUACUGUCAAGCUAGAGACUGGUAGACGUAAGAAGUAUGUUCAGAGUAGCGGUAAAAUGUGUUAAUCCUGGACAGACUCACAAUAGCGAAGGCAUCUUACGAGGACAGUUCUGACAGUAAGGGAUGAAGGCUAGGGGCGCAAAACGGAUUAGAUACCCUCGUAGUC